ACAUGCAAGUCGAGCGAACGGAUAAGGAGCUUGCUCCUUUGAAGUUAGCGGCGGACGGGUGAGUAACACGUGGGUAACCUACCUAUAAGACUGGAAUAACUUCGGGAAACCGGAGCUAAUGCCGGAUAACAUUUGGAACCGCAUGGUUCUAAAGUAAAAGAUGGUUUUGCUAUCACUUAUAGAUGGACCCGCGCCGUAUUAGCUAGUUGGUAAGGUAACGGCUUACCAAGGCAACGAUACGUAGCCGACCUGAGAGGGUGAUCGGCCACACUGGAACUGAGACACGGUCCAGACUCCUACGGGAGGCAGCAGUAGGGAAUCUUCCGCAAUGGACGAAAGUCUGACGGAGCAACGCCGCGUGAGUGAUGAAGGUUUUCGGAUCGUAAAACUCUGUUAUUAGGGAAGAACAAAUGUGUAAGUAACUGUGCACAUCUUGACGGUACCUAAUCAGAAAGCCACGGCUAACUACGUGCCAGCAGCCGCGGUAAUACGUAGGUGGCAAGCGUUAUCCGGAAUUAUUGGGCGUAAAGCGCGCGUAGGCGGUUUCUUAAGUCUGAUGUGAAAGCCCACGGCUCAACCGUGGAGGGUCAUUGGAAACUGGGAAACUUGAGUACAGAAGAGGAAAGUGGAAUUCCAUGUGUAGCGGUGAAAUGCGCAGAGAUAUGGAGGAACACCAGUGGCGAAGGCGACUUUCUGGUCUGUAACUGACGCUGAUGUGCGAAAGCGUGGGGAUCAAACAGGAUUAGAUACCCUGGUAGUCCACGCCGUAAACGAUGAGUGCUAAGUGUUAGGGGGUUUCCGCCCCUUAGUGCUGCAGCUAACGCAUUAAGCACUCCG
rnacentral:rRNA from 1 species